UUAAACUUUUUUUCUUUAUAAAUUACCCAGUCUCAAGUAUUUCUUUAUAGCAAUUCGAGAAUGGCCUAACACGGGCCCCUUCUGUGUUGCUACUUUGCCAUUACCACAGUGUGUCUUCCCCCUCCAGCCAGCAAGUCGGAGGAAAGGGUGAAGAAGAGCAAACCUGCUCCCCGAACGACGCUUCCUUGGAAAUGAUAUGCAUGUACAAACACGUGCACACACAUGCGUGCACACCCAUAAGCAAACAUACAUACUUCCCAUUGGCCAGAACUUAAUCACAUGGGCACACCCAAGAGCAAAGAAGGCUGGGAAAUGUAGCCUGUGCCAAGUGACCACACACCCAGCUACAAACGGUCACCAGUUUCAAGAUUUGUACAUCCUGGUGUCACGGUGAAAAGCCUAUUGGUGGCAAGCACAUAAGGCACGUGGGAUGGCCAGGGGCCUCCAGCACAGGAAGGCCCCGAGUGAAAGCCUAGCAGAGUUAAGCGACUGUACGACAUGCUGAAAGGGAUCAGUGAUUUCUCCUGCAGCCAGUUCCAACCUGCUGAAAGGAACACUGAGAAAAUAUAUGGACUCAGUAAACCUGAGCUGCCUCCAAUGGCCUCACUCACUCCAACCCUCAACUUUGCAAUGCUGGAAUGUGAGUCACCUUUAAGAUCAUUUCAUUUAUCUUGGCCAAGCCUUUAAAUAUUUAGGUCUACAUCAAAUAAUGUCUGAUAAAAGCUUAGCGCUUUUCACAGCAAAGAACAAAACGUAAUUUUGAACCACCACAGCUGAAAAAAGGGAUGUUAUUAGCCAAGACAGGGGCCCCAGUUCAGCAGCCUACCUCCCGUGACCCAGUGAUACACAGCUAAGGAAGUGUGGGGCUUGUGGGACCUGUUUGGUUCCUGACGUUCCCAGAGAACAAUAUCCUGAAGCAGAAACAAGACGUGGUUUCCGGUUUUUGUUUUUGUUUUGAGACGGAAUCUUGCUUUGUCACCCUGGCUGGAAUGCAGUGGCAUGAUCACAGCUCACUGCAGACGCGACCUCCUGGGCGCAAAUGAUCCUCCCCCCUCAGCCCCCCAAGUAGCUGAGACUAUAGG
rnacentral:lncRNA from 1 species